rnacentral:piRNA from 1 species
UGACUGUAUAUUGAAGCGAAA